GUGCCAGGAAAGGAAGGGCGCAGCUCCUGCAAUGCGGAGCGGCCAGGGCAGUGGGCACCAGGCUUUAGCCUCCCUUUCUCACCCUACAGAGGGCAGGCCCUUCAGCUCCAUUCUCCUCCAAGGCUGCAGAGGGGGCAGGAACUGGGGGUGACAGGAGAGCUGUAAGGUCUCCAGUGGGUCAUUCUGGGCCCAGAGAUGGGUGCUGAAGCUCCCACGCCUGCCUGUGAAAAUGGAGUCCUCUCUCACCUGGGAGAGCCAGGUGCUGCCCCGAGAAGGAUGCAUUUAUGGCUUCAUGAAGUCUUUCCUGACCCACGAUGCUGCUGACUAUAGAGACAAAGUCUCACUAUGUUGCUCAGGCUGGUCUUGAACUCCUGGCCUCAAGCGAUCCUCCCACCUUAGCCUCCCAAAGUGUUGGGAUUAUAGACAUGAGCCACUGCACCUGGCCGACCUUGGGCAAGUUCUUAAACCCUUCAAAGCCUCAUUUUUCUCCAAUCAUAAAAGGGAAAGAUGGUAAUAUUUUCCCCGCCAAAUUCUUGUAAGUAUUAAAUAUUGUAUAUGUAUGUUGAACAUGAUUAAGCUCUAAACACUUGUUAGGAAGCAGGAGUAGCAUUUGAAACAAACAGCUCUUUUCCCACAGGUCGGAUGCCCUCACAGAAUUGAGAUUAUGUACGCAAAACACCAGGUGCCUAACCCGGCACAGAGCAGGAGGGCUAAGUGUGACAUCCAGCACGUGGUCAGUGGAAUCCAGUAUUCCUACCCACCUCUCUAGUCUCCCCUCCACCCCUCUCCCUUUCAGAGGCACCAAGCUGCUUGUGGUCUUGUCUAUUCCCACUCCCUGCCUGACUGAACAUUUUCUCCACCUCCUGAUCAUCAGCAGCAGAAACUGGCUGCUCUUCCUCCUGGGUAGACAGCCAGACUGUAUUUCCCAGCUGCCCCUGCAGUGAGAUGUGGCCAUUGGAGCCAGCAUUGGCCAAUGGACUCUGCAUGGGAGUGACGCAUGCUGCCUCCAGGCUUGUCCCUAAAACCUCCCACGUGUCCUCCGCCUGCUCUUCCCACUUCCAAGGAGCACGGCAAUUGUGGAAGACUCAGAUUAGUGAUGGCAGAACCAUAGAUGGGAGGAACCUGGGUCCCUGACUUAAAGUAUCAUGGAUUUGGAUGUUCCCUUAGUGAGAAAUAAACUUCCAUUGUGUUUAAGCCUU
rnacentral:lncRNA from 1 species